rnacentral:rRNA from 1 species
CCUACGGGUGGCAGCAGUGAGGAAUAUUGGUCAAUGGGAGAGAUCCUGAACCAGCCAAGCCGCGUGAGUGAAGACGGCCCUAUGGGUUGUAAACCUCUUUUGUCGGAGAACAAAACCCGGUACGUGUCCCGGACUGCGCGUAUCCGUAGAAAAAGCAUCGGCCAACUCGGUGCCAGCAGCCGCGGUAAUACGGAGGAUGCGAGCGUUAUCCGGAUUUAUUGGGUUUAAAGGGUCCGUAGGCGGUCCGUUAAGUCAGCGGUAAAAGUGCGGGGGUAAACCCUGUCGAGCCGUUGAAACUGGCAGACUUGAGUUGGCGAGAAGUACGCGGAAUGCGCGGUGUAGCGGUGAAAUGCAUAGAUA